rnacentral:lncRNA from 10 species
ACACUCUCCAUUUGGAGCAGAGCUUCUUCGGCAGCCCCAGGUCUCCCGGGAUCUUCCUCGGUGUCCUGCGGAGGCUCUGGCUCCAGCGUGGGCUCCAGCGCAGGCUGGGCUUCCGGCUGGGCUUCAGCGCUCCGGCCAGGCCCAAGGCGAGGCGGCUUGACCGGGGUGGGCGGUGGCGCUGCAGGGCCUUUCCGGCCCGAAAGGGCCCUUCGGAGGCUCUGUACCUUCUGCAAUCCGGUGCGCCGCAGCCGCUGGGCCCUGGACUCCACCGGCUCCUCGUCCGAGCUCUCUCCAACUUCGGCCUCCAGCUGCUCUGGGCCCAGCUCGGACUGGUCCGCCGGGCCCAAGGGCUCUGGUGCCUUCUGGAAAGCGCUGGCUGGGACUUCACCCUCCUCCUGCAUGUGACGGACACAGCACUGAUCCUGGCAGCUCCUUACCCCCAGCAGCCCGAAACUCACUCCUUAAUUACACAAGGGAAACCUUUUACCUCCGCAGCCAGAGUCUGGGGGGAAAGGCAGGCGUGGGAAGCACUAACUCCCUCUCUGGAUAUCUGGAACAAGGAGGACCUUAAACUUAACAAUAAAGCCAAUGAUGGUUCUACCAGUCUCCCCAAAGCCUCAAGUUUAAAAGCCAUAUGAACUGGCUGAUAGUGGAAAAUGGAAGCCAUGAGGAAAUCAGAUUAGAGUACUACCUGGUGAAGCCUGGAGGACCUACCAAGAAAAGCAAACUUGGAUCUUUGCAAGGUUAGAAGAACGAAUGGGAUCCAAGAAAAAGACUGGUCAUAUUCAACGGCUAAGAGCGUUGGAGAAGGCCUGUGGAGUCUCAGCAGGUCAGGUCCAUGACUCAUGAGUAGACACCUGUGUUUCUACUGCCUGGUGCCAUAAUCAUAAACAAGGAAGAAACUGAGGACAGGAGGGGCCAAACAAGUUACAGUUUCAUCCCUCCAGAGAGCCAACAGAGUAUUUUGCACGAAGUUGAAGCUAAACAGAGUAAUCAGCAAAUGCCUUUCCUUUCUCCUGCUGAUGUUUUGCCCGUACUCAGACCCCUUGACUUCUUAGCUUCUACCCAAAGUGAGCUUGUCAUCAAAGUUCUCCAAAAAUCUGCAGUGUUCUCUUGAGCAAAUCUGCUUCCAAGACUAUAGCGCUCUGAUGCAUUGAGAUGACAGCAAGCGGCAUUUUUCAGUCCUGUUACCCAUAUGGCUGCUACCACUGCAUCCUGUUAAAUAAUGUCUUCAACCCAAGAAACCUGCUUCCUAGGGAAGUUUCUCUCUCUCUGCAUUUGUUCCCACUAGAGAAUGACCAUCACCAGAUUCCUGAACUGAAAAUGCUGUUGACACUUUGGAAACUCGGGCCUCUAUUAAUAGGGUGACCAACUAUCCUGGUUUACCUUGAGUACAGGAUUUUCAAUGCUAAAACCAGAAAAACCAGGAUGGUUGGUCAUCUGCCUCAGACCUAAUAAAUACCAGUCAAUAAUUCA